CUACGGGAGGCAGCAGUGGGGAAUAUUGCACAAUGGGCGCAAGCCUGAUGCAGCGACGCCGCGUGGGUGAAGAAGGCCUUCGGGUCGUAAAGCCCUUUUCUCAGUGACGAGGAAGGACGGUAACUGAGGAAUAAGUGUCGGCUAACUACGUGCCAGCAGCCGCGGUAAAACGUAGGACGCAAGCGUUAUCCGGAAUUACUGGGCGUAAAGCGCGUGCAGGCGGUUUGACAAGUCAUGCGUGAAAGCUCCCGGCUAAACUGGGAGAGGUCGGAUGAGACUGUCAGGCUAGAGGGUGUUAGAGGCGUGUGGAAUUCCGCGUGUAGUGGUGAAAUGCGUAGAGAUGCGGAGGAACACCAGUGGCGAAGGCGGCACGCUGGGACACACCUGACGCUGAGACGCGAAAGCAUGGGUAGCGAACGGGAUUAGAUUCCCUGGUAGUCC
rnacentral:rRNA from 1 species